CCCUUAGACGUUCUGGGCCGCACGCGCGCUACACUGACACAGGCAACGAGCUUUCCUUUACCGAAAGGUAUGGGUAAUCUUUUGAAACUGUGUCGUGCUGGGGAUAGAUCCUUGCAAUUUUUGAUCUUAAACGAGGAAUUCCUAGUAAGCGCGAGUCAUCAACUCGCGUUGAUUACGUCCCUGCCCUUUGCACACACCGCCCGUCGCUACUACCGAUUGAAUGGCUUAGUGAGGCCUCAGGAUCCGCGCUUAAUGUGUGGAGAAUUUGGACAAACUACGUCAUUUAGAGGAAGUAAAAGUCGUAACA
rnacentral:rRNA from 1 species